rnacentral:rRNA from 1 species
UACGAAGGGGGCUAGCGUUGUUCGGAAUUACUGGGCGUAAAGCGCACGUAGGCGGGUUUUUAAGUCAGGGGUGAAAUCCUGGAGCUCAACUCCAGAACUGCCUUUGAUACUGAAGAUCUCGAGUCCGGGAGAGGUGAGUGGAACUGCGAGUGUAGAGGUGAAAUUCGUAGAUAUUCGCAAGAACACCAGUGGCGAAGGCGGCUCACUGGCCCGGUACUGACGCUGAGGCACGAAAGCGUGGGGAGCAAACAGG